GACGAACGCUGGCGGCGUGCUUAACACAUGCAAGUCGAACGAAGAGCGAUGGAAGCUUGCUUCUCUCAAUCUUAGUGGCGAACGGGUGAGUAACGCGUAAUCAACCUGCCCUUCAGAGGGGGACAACAGUUGGAAACGACUGCUAAUACCGCAUACGAUCUGACCUCGGCAUCGAGGAUAGAUGAAAGGUGGCCUCUACAUGUAAGCUAUCACUGAAGGAGGGGAUUGCGUCUGAUUAGCUAGUUGGAGGGGUAACGGCCCACCAAGGCGAUGAUCAGUAGCCGGUCUGAGAGGAUGAACGGCCACAUUGGGACUGAGACACGGCCCAGACUCCUACGGGAGGCAGCAGUGGGGAAUCUUCCGCAAUGGACGAAAGUCUGACGGAGCAACGCCGCGUGAGUGAUGACGGCCUUCGGGUUGUAAAGCUCUGUUAAUCGGGACGAAAGGCCUUUUUGCGAAUAGUGAGAAGGAUUGACGGUACCGGAAUAGAAAGCCACGGCUAACUACGUG
rnacentral:rRNA from 1 species